GGAAGCAAUUUUCUAACAUAUCGAAUUCUUUUAAUCAACUCUCUCUCUCUUUAAAAUCAAAUACCGAAACACUUACUGAAACCACCUCCUCCGUCUCUCUGGCCGAUUACUUGCGGAGAAAAAUUCUUGGGCUACCCACCUCGACUCAACAAACUACAAUACUCCAUCUUCAACAGAUAGCUUCAUCUAACAAUCUACCUCCAAUCCUAUAACUGUUACAUGUUUUAAUGGCUGGUUUCACAGAAUCAGAGAAUAAGAGUGGAACUGGGGAAAGCCGAUGUGAAGCUUCUUCAGAGAAGCUGCCGGGAAUACAACUCUGGCCGACUCUGUAGCCAAAUCUUGGGAAGCCGUAUCAGGCCUUGGUCCCUGGUGAAAUUCUACGGCUUGUUCUGUAUCAUCAUUCAAGCAUCAUAAUCCUAUAUCAGUAGCACAAGCACACAAAUGCAGCUGCUAUGGCUUUAUUGUAUGGGUUCCUUUUUGGAGCAUCAUGUGCUCUGUGCUUAUUGCAACCAGUUAUAAUUAGUGCUCACAGAAGGUUUCAACUAUUUUGUAUCUCUUUCGGAUAGAUAGCCAUGUAAAACGUCUUGAUGAAGAUCUAAUCAACUUUGCAGAAGAUCUAAGACAAGAUGAACCUGCUAUUCUUCCUCCGCUGCCUAUGGUACUGAAAACUGAAAACCGCAAGUCCUUUUAUGGAGCACCUCAGUCAAAAAAGGUAGAUUAUAGAGACACAGAAUGGGAUGGAGAGCUUGAUAGGGAUUUUGAGCUAAUGCCUCCCCAGGAAGCCAUAAGAAGGAUUUUGCUACACCUGCUGAUGUUGAUCAGCCUAAUGACCCCAAUGAACUUAUCUACUGUGUCUGUCAUCAGGUAAUGUUUUCUGCCUCACAAUUUUUCUUGACCCCAAUGAACUUACCUACUGUGUCUCUCAUCAAGUAAUGUUUUCUGCCUCACAAUUUUUCUUUCUUUUUAAGGAAAAUAAGUUAACAUCCAUUCUCCUGUUCAUUUUUUUUUGUCGAGACUUUGGUAUGAUACUGAAGUGCUGUAAUGUAAUUUUCAUAACCAUCUGAUGUCAUUUGGAGAUAUGAUCACCUAUGACAAUGAAAUUGUGAGUUUAUAAUUUUGAUUUCUUCCUCUUAUUCUCUGCUCCAUUUCCUUCAUUUCAGUUCACAUUUAGGCAUUAGAUACUAAAGAUUUUCAAAGUAAAUUGAGAUUGCAGUACAUUUUAUUACAAUU